GCCUGGGUGGCGGAAUUGGUAGACGCAAGGGACUUAAAAUCCCUCGAGGCUCAGUCCUUGUGCGGGUUCGAUUCCCGCCCCAGGCACCA
rnacentral:tRNA from 1 species